rnacentral:rRNA from 1 species
CCUACGGGUGGCUGCAGUGGGGAAUAUUGGACAAUGGGGGGAACCCUGAUCCAGCCAUGCCGCGUGUGUGAAGAAGGCCCUCGGGUUGUAAAGCACUUUCAGUGAGGAAGAACGCCUGGUGGUUAAUACCCAUCAGGAAAGACAUCACUCACAGAAGAAGCACCGGCUAACUCCGUGCCAGCAGCCGCGGUAAUACGGAGGGUGCGAGCGUUAAUCGGAAUUACUGGGCGUAAAGCGCGCGUAGGUGGCUUGAUAAGCCGGUUGUGAAAGCCCCGGGCUCAACCUGGGAACGGCAUCCGGAACUGUCAAGCUAGAGUGCAGGAGAGGAAGGUAGAAUUCCCGGUGUGUGGUGAAAUGCGUAGAGAUCGGGAGGAAUACCAGUGGCGAAGGCGGCCUUCUGGACUGACACUGACACUGAGGUGCGAAAGCGUGGGUAGCAAACAGGAUUAGAUACCCGAGUAGUC